AAUAUGAGUUCUGGCUGAGAGGAGAAGGCUAUUAGAGGUUGCAAAGAAAACCAAGAGUCAGAAGAGAAGAGAAAAGCCAGGUGAGAGGCAAGCCCAGAAUGGAGCAGGGGCCCUCGGGCUUGUGCUGCACUCGGUUACACUAAAUGCCAUCUUCACUUUGCAGAGCUGCAGGAGCCUUCAGUUCAACUUCCCACUAGUUACACAGAUAACAUGAUAGGAAGCAGUCUACCCAGGAGAUGCGUGUGCAUCAGCAGGUGGUCAUAGUUUCCUAUGGACUAGUCAAUCUCCAGUGGUUUUUGACAUUUACCUGACACAUCUGCAGUCAAGUAAGGAAAAUACUGUGACCGUUUCCGGAUCCCUACUUCUCGGGGUCAGUGUUCUCAAUAUUGCCCCACCCCUCACCUGGAAAACAACCCUUCUGCCUGCUGUGAAACUGCAAAGCCAAGUCCCACAUUUGAAGUCAGGUUAAGAAACGCCAUCCCCGCAAGUAAUUGUUUCAUCUGCAGGUUAAGAUUUUGAACUGUCUCACUGAUUGGACUUUUGCAUUUGAGAGGUCUUACAAUGGAAGCUAGGACCCCUGUUUUAACUCUGCUGUUACAUUAUAUACCUGUCUCGGUCCGUAAUUCAAUUUUAAUUUUGAUAGAUUUAUUCUAGUUAAGCCAUAAAUAUCAAUGUGUAAACUUGUUUUGAUUAAAGAAUUUUUCCAUAAAAAUAAAUAAAUAAAAAAUGUAUAAAAUCUCUCUUUUUUGGAUUAGGAGUUUUUAGAAUCUAAUUUAAUUGAAAGGAUUACUAAAAUCUGGAAGCUAAUAGUUAUACAAAUCAAAGAGAUGCUGUGGAAAGUUUAGAGAGAGCAGUUGACUAAAGCAUGGCAUUAAUGAUGCCAAACUCGACAGCACUUCCUUCCCUGGCAACCAUAGAGCCAUUUAAUGUUACACAGAGGAAGAAGUUGCUAAUUAAGAAACCCUUGGCUUUGAUUUGGAAAUGUCUGCUCUUGGUCACAAGUGAGACAGAAUAAACAUUUUAAUGAGUCACAUAAUCUGAACUGGAAAACAAUUCAAACAUGUUAUUCAAAAUCAACAGCAUUUUUCAUGUUAUUCAAAGGAAAGGGAGCUGUUUUAUAAAGAAAAUAUAAAUAAACCGUGCAGCUUCACCAUACAGACCAUUAAUGAAUUUAAACAUAAAAUUCUUUAAGAACCUGACUUUAAAUCCAAACUAUAAGAUUUAUCAACCAGGCUAUUUAAUAAACAGGUAAUUUAAAAAACUGUGUUAGUCUUUCCAUGUAGCAUCCCUCAUCCCACAGCAUACACACGUGUACAGGGUUGCUAUAAGGUGUAAGUGUACUAUGUGUGUAGUGGGAGGCACACUGUAGCUUAUUGAUUAAAGGGAGUAACUUUUGAUCAUGUGCUGCUGACUUUCCACAAAGCAUCACUGCCUCACUAGGCAGAGAUCCCUAAGCACAGAGAACUUCUCAUCAUCCGUGAUUGUCAGAACCAGGCAAGCUGACUCAGUUCAACUCCAUGUGUUGAUUAUGUCCUUAUUGUGAAGCGUGAACAGCAUUGCCCACUGAUGAUACAGAGAUCUGAUCACAGACGGGGUCAUUCCUCAUGGAGUUCAAUCUCAUAAAAGAGUCGCAGAGAGUGACAGUUCUUUAUAGCAAACAUUCUGUAAGCACUGAUUGAACGAGCAAAUGAAUAAUGAUAGUCAAUGAAUAGCUACUUUCAUUCCUGCCUAUCUAAUAGCAUUUCUGAAACUAAAACCACAACAUAUUUGUAUUCUUUGUCAUUUCAACUUCCAGCCAUAACCGAUAAAUUCAUCAGUGUGUGGCUGCUUCUAGCACUUUGAGACGCAUUGUCUCUGUUGUGUUUCAUUCUUUCCAAAAUGACUGUAAAGACAAGUGCACAGCUAAACAUAGAAAGGCCACGGUAGAUAUUCACAUGAAGGGUGUUAAUUUGCUUAAACAAUACUGAAUAAUCUUUCCUGAUCUUAAUUUCUAAGCAGCAUACUAAGAGCCAGAAAUACACCCUGAAAACAGAAGCUAUCCUAAGACAUGGUUAUAAACAUAAUUUUAAUCUAGCGCUUCUUCAUUAAAACAAACAAAAUAAUUUAAUAAAAUCUAGGAAAGUAAAAACAUAAGGAAAUCACUAAAAUAUUUUAAUAUUCUCUCAUUUUCCCGUUAUUCAGAGAUUUUUGGAUAGCUGUCAUUAUUUUGUAUUUAAAAUGGGGAUUCUUCUUUCUUUAAACUCCAUCAUUAGUAAUUUAAUUUGGGUAUCAAAAUGAAAAUCAGGAUACAUUCUUUCUAUUGACUAAAGUUGCAGAUUGUUGAAAUGUCAUUCUGAAAAAAUUCAGUUGCACAUAUCUGUAUACACGGAUACACAUGCAAGCAUAUCCAGAUGGUUUGACAAAUACAUUUAUAAACAACCUGUUUUCACACUCAAGGGGAAAUGUUCUGAGAUGAAUUCCACUCAUUCUCAAGUCCCAGUUUCUUUCAGCUCUUUGCAAUAUUAAAGUAUCCUUACAGUAAAUUAAACCAUUUCUUUAAGUUAAUUCCAUUUGUUGUUUCUAACACCUACAAUUAAAUAAGCUCUAAUAUUGCAUUGUACUAAUGCUUCUAGUAGUAAAUAGGAUUUAAAUGAAAAAAUAAUAUUCAGUCAUAGAACAGAAUGAAAACGUAAAUUAAAAAAAAAGUCAAAGGAACCAGUAUGUCCUUUAAUAGGCAAAUGGACAAACAAAAUACUGUUCAUAAAUAUAAUAGGAUAUUAUUCAGUAAUAAAAAUAAAUGAGUGAUCAAGUCAUGGAAAGAUAUGGAGAAAACUUAAAUACUUAUUGUUAUGUGAAAGAAGUCAACCCAAAAAGGCUAUACACUGCACAAACUAAAAGAAGUCAAACUGAAGAAGCUAUAUGUCAGUCUGGAAAAUGUGAAUGAUAAAUAGUUUCUGGGAUUUAGAAGUUAGGCAAGGACGAACAGGAUGAACAGGCCAAUUAGAGGGGAUAUUUAGGAGACACCAUCUCAUAAAACUAUAAUGGCAAAUAUUUGUCAUAUUGACAUUUGUUAAAAGCUAUUGUCCAGUGUGAACCAUGAGCUUUACUUUAUAAUACACCACUCUAGCUGGGGAAACUCUACAGCACUGGGGACUGGCUCCAUGGUUUACCAAGCUAAUGCUACUUCUGCAGCACUGGCAUGCCACAAGGGCACUGGUUCUAGUCCUGGCUGCUUCACUUUCCAUCGAGCACCUUGUUAGUGGCCUGAAAAAGUAGAGGUUGCUGGGCCAAGUCUUCAGGCCUCUGAACCCAUGUGUGAGACCCAGAAGAAGUUUCUGUCUCCUGGCAUGGAAUCAAUGCAGC